UAGCUCUACUUGGAAAAACUGCCUCUUACUGCCACAAAUUGAACUGCAUUUCACUGACUACACUGACUUCAGGGAUGAGCAGAACUGAACGGAAUUGCGCAAACACAACUAAACUUUACUCCAUUCAACUGAACUGCACGUAACUGGACUGAACUGCAAUGAGUUGAACUCAUCUCAAUUCCCCUACAUUACCUGAACUUAACUGAACUAUACUCAUUGAAUGGUCCUCCAUCCUGACUGCCCUUAAGUAGGCGAUCUUUUCCUGAAGGUUGGAGCAUGGCUUCCAGAUAGCAUGUAACAGUGGACUUUGGUAUAAAACCUACAGUGAUGUUUCAGUCAACGUGAGAUAACCAUGCAUUAAUACAUAACUAUUACAACUCAAUGCUAAGUUGUUCUAGACUGA
rnacentral:sRNA from 1 species